rnacentral:rRNA from 1 species
GACGAACGCUGGCGGCGUGCUUAACACAUGCAAGUCGAACGGAAAGGCCCUGAUUUUGUGGUGUGCUCGAGUGGCGAACGGGUGAGUAACACGUGAGUAACCUGCUCUUGACUUUCGGAUAACUUCAGGAAACUGGGGCUAAUACCGGAUAGGAGCUCCUGCUGCAUGGUGGGGGUUGGAAAGUUUCGGCGGUAGGGGAUGGACUAGCGGCUUAUCAGCUUGUUGGUGGGGGAGUGGCUUCCCAAGCCUUUGACGGGUAGCCGGCCUGUGAGGGUGACCGGCGACAAGGGGACUGAGAGACGGACCAGACUCCUACGGUGGGCAGCAGUGGGGAAUAUUGCACAAUGGGCGGAAGCCUGAUGCAGCAGCGCCGCGUGCGUGAAGACGGCCUUCGGGGUGUAAACCGCUUUCGCCUGUGACGAAGCGGGAGUGACGGUAAUGGGUGAAGAAGCACCGGCUAACUACGUG